rnacentral:rRNA from 1 species
GAUGAACGCUAGCUACAGGCUUAACACAUGCAAGUCGAGGGGCAGCAUGAUUGAAGCUUGCUUCAAUCGAUGGCGACCGGCGCACGGGUGAGUAACACGUAUCCAACCUGCCGAUAACUCGGGGAUAGCCUUUCGAAAGAAAGAUUAAUACCCGAUAGUAUAGUAUUUCCGCAUGGUUUCACUAUUAAAGAACUUCGGUUAUCGAUGGGGAUGCGUUCCAUUAGAUAGUUGGCGGGGUAACGGCCCACCAAGUCAACGAUGGAUAGGGGUUCUGAGAGGAAGGUCCCCCACAUUGGAACUGAGACACGGUCCAAAAUCCUACGGGAGGCAGCAGUGGGGAAUAUUGGUCAAUGGACGAGAGUCUGAACCAGCCAAGUAGGGUAAAGGAUGACGGCCCUAUGGGUUGUAACCUUCUUUAUACGGGAAUAAAGUGGAGUAUGCAUACUCCUUUGUAUGUACCGUAUGAAUAAGGAUCGGCUAACUCCGUG